AUGUAAUAUUGGGAUGGAAACUCAAAAUGUAAUACAUUUCAAUGCUAAAUCUGACAUGGUACAGGUGUCUUCUUUUUUUAAGCCGUAGCCAUGUGUGUGAGGUGGGUACUUUUGUUUCAAAGUAGAUUUGUUUAAGACUACCAAGAAACACCCUGUGUGAUCCUCAUUUAGGCCACUGCAGUCAAAGGUUUCAAGGAGGUCCAGUCACCAUUAUAACACUCGCUGCCCUUGUCUUUCAUCCAGACUAUAUGUUUUACUUCUGUUUCCCAAUGUGUUCCAGGAGCUUUUCUUUGUGCUACAGCUGCUGACGUCUAGAACACCAUCCGUCACAGAGGAAGAGGAGGAAGAUCUAAGUCUAGAGAAGUCAGAUGUCCUGGAAAGAGGUUACUACAGAAAUAUGCUCAACUGUGUCUACUUCUCUGUCAGGGUGCUGGAGAAUCAGUUUGAGUGUGGGAGCUGGUCCACGGUGGAAAGAGGUUGCUGAGGGAGGGGCUGAUCUCACCAGUGGCCAACCCUCUGAAACCCAAGGACUCCAUCUGUGCUCAGCUCUGUGACGUGGAGCCAGCAGGCUCUGCCGAGAGAUACCAGGUACACAUACUCUAUUUGUUGUAAUGGCAUCCAGAAGAACCUGCAUGAAAUAACCAAAGAUGGCAAGAUGCUGCCAUUAAUACUCAUUGAGUGGGUUUAUAGUGUUAGAUUCGAAUUCUCAGAAUAAAAAAAUGAUGAAAAAAAACAGUCUCUAUCACUCCUCAGAUACUACAGUAUUACUUCUGAUGUAUCAUGUCUCUAGUAUAACAAUGUUCCACGUUUUACCCAGAAUCUAACAAUAGUCUAUUAUUUGUGUGUGUUUGACUAUAGCCUCUUAUGUAUCUUCAGGUUCUGCAGUGUGAAAGGUUUGGAAGACUUCAGGGUGUUCCUUCCUGAUGAAACUUCUCCUGCUAUUCUCACCACGUCUGAGAACAUCCAGUCUCGUCGCAACUCAGUGCCCUCAGAGACUGGUGGUGUGGGUGGGGCCGAGGCUAAGACUGGAAGUGGGGCCGGUGCUGCGACGGCACCCAGGAGCAGCCACGGACACCAAGACAGGAAAAGGCAAGGAGGCUUUGACAUUAUUAUGGUGAUGAUCGUUAUUAUGGGGAUGAUGGUUAUUAUGGGGGUGAUGGUUAUUAUGGUGGUGAUGGUUAUUAUGGGGAUGAUCGUUAUUAUGGGGAUGAUGGUUAUUAUGGGGAUGAUGGUUAUUAUGGGGAUGAUGGUUAUUAUGGGGAUGAUGGUUAUUAUGGGGAUGAUGGUUAUUAUGGUGAUGAUGGUUAUUAUGGGGAUGAUGGUUAUUAUGGGGAUGAUGGUUAUUAUG
rnacentral:lncRNA from 13 species